AAGACCUGUUGAGGCAAGUGAAAUUGAAAUUGAACUAAAUUCAACAACUGGCACCCAUGCCAACAUCGUCUCCUUCAUUGGACACGAAACUUGGCGAAAUGGUAAUUGCACCUGUGCCCAGUGUCGCCUUCCUGGCACAUGUAAAGACAUUCGAGCGAGAUCGUCGCCAGUGCCGCUGGACUGGCUCCUGUGCAGGUGGCACGUAAAAUACACCAUUUUGAGCGUGGCCAUUGCCAGUACUACCUGAUUGGCCUUCGUGCCGGUGGUACGUAAAAGUACCCACUACACUCUUGGAGUGGUUGGCGUAAGGAAGGGCAUCCAGCUGUAGAAACUCUGCAAAAUCAGAUUGGAGCCUGAUGUAGCCAUCUGGUUCACCAGUCCUCAGUCAAAUCGUCCAACCCAUGCUAGCAUGGAAAGCGGACGUUAAACGAUGAUGAUGAUGAUGAUGAUAAGUAGUGGAAUAUCUGAGGCUGGUUAAGGAGCUGGAAAGAUGGAAAGCAGAUACUGCAUCUCUUACUGUGCACCUACAGCUUCAAUAAGGAAUGGGCUUUGACUGAUUGCCUGAUUAUUUAGGUUUAUGAAUCAGGGCCAUUUUAACAGAACAUUAGGCCCCCUGAGUAAAGCAAUGCACAGAGGUCCCCUACCAACACAACAACAACAUAACUAGAUUAGCAUUGGGUACCUAGGCCUAUGUGACUCCCAAGAAACUGCCUGGUGUGCACUUAUCUUAAGACAGCACUGAUAUGGAUCUUAAAGCUCACACAACAGUUAUAUAGUUAUUAACAAUGAUUAUGAAGUUUGUUGAACUAAUACUGUUUCUGCCGGAAGCAGAGAUGUAGUUUAUUAGAUGGUAGAAAGUACCAUUCAAGAUUAGCUCAUUAUAAUAUAAUUGGUAUAUCUGUCACAAAUGAUGGCAUGUUGGCAUUUAAAAAUGAACAAGCUGAAAUUGGCAUUUAAUAAAUGCCUCAACAUAAAUUAUGUUCCAUAUAUUUUUUGAUACAGACUUGUUUCAACCUAUCAUAUACUGCCAGGUUAGGUUUGAAUCAAAGUUUAUUUACCAAAAUUAGUAUAUUUUAUUAAUAAUCAAUUCCAUAUGCAUUUCAUCCACACAUAAAUAUCCAUUAUGACUUGUUUUAUAUAUAAAGCUGUUACACUGAAACAUAAAGUGUUGUGGCAGACACCCCCAGGUGAGAAGUGAGUUGGUCCACUAAUAAAUAGUGGCCUGACACAGUCAGUAAUGUCAGUUAGUGAGGUACAUUGUUCAGGUCAGUCUUGCAGAGAUGACGAAAUGCGUUGUCAUAAUGUGGGACAUAACAAUAAUCAUAUCACAAUAUACUAAUUUUAUUCAAUAUACAGUCACUGCAUACGUUUCCAAUGGUAAUACAAAUGGGUUUCUGCAUAGAUGUUACAAUUUUCAUGUACUAAAAUAUUGAUAGAGGAGUGGCUGUGUGGUAAGUAGCUUGCUUACCAACCACAUGGUUCGGGUUCAGUCCCACUGCGUGACACCUUGGUCAUUUCACUGCAGCCAUGCUGGAGCAUCACCUUUAGUCGAACAAAUUGACCCCAGGACUUAUUCUUUAUUGAAGGAGACGGCUGUAACAACACUUUGAACACACCUAUUAAGCACAGUGUGUCACAACUGACUAGUUUUACAGAAUGCAGGUAGAACAUGAAGACAAUUUGGAAGCUCCUUAUGCAAUAAAUCUUCGUGUUAAACUGAGCAAAAGCGCUACAGAAACUUUAUAAAAUGCUCCAGACUCCAUUUUUCAUAAGCGAUGUAGUGGUGUUAUAAGACUUGACCUAUGAAUACUAAUUUCCAUUAUGUCCUCUACAUUGUAUCAAAAUUUCAUGCAUUUAUUUGUAACGUUAAGGAAGUUAUUAAAAAUUGAAACCCAUCAGUGACUUUUGGGACUAUUCUUUUACUUGUUUCAGUCAU